GAAAAAGAAGGGCACCUAAAAAGUGUGCAAGAAUUUUGCUUUGCUAUUUUGAACCCAAAAUAGAGUUUUUAACCAUUCAUUUGAAAUUUCUUCCACAAAGCACCAACAUUUCAAUGACAAUGAAAUUUUCCACAAAAAAUUGCCUUUGGAGCCCCCCCACCCUUUUUUCAGUGAAAAAGUUUUGAUGAAAAUAGUUUGACCCAUUUCCAUUGUUGAGCUCAUAGUCUAUGUAAGAGGCUUGAAAGAGGCUAAGGAUUAUUAUUGUUAUCAUCAUCUAGCCUUGCGGUUGCUUACUUUACUAGAAGCAUCAGUCUUCUCCUUGUGACAUGAUUGUUUCCACAGCAACCAAAUCAUGCCAUGGAGGGCAGAGCCGGAGCUAGGCAUAAGUAUUUGCCUAGUGCCCCAAACAGCUCAGGAGGGCCCCCUUAUGUGCUUUUUAUUGGUUAACAGUUCCCUAGGGCCCCCAGGUCAAAAGGACUCUCAUCUGCUUUUCCUGCUGGGGAAGAAACAUUCUGGGAAACUGCUUUUUGGCAGCAUCUAGGAAGGAGAAAGUGGGCCAUGGAGGGGCAAGGCCACUAUCCAGGAGCAAUCAAGGAACAGCAUGUGACUACAUCUCACAGGCAACUCACAGAUGAGAGGAAUAUUCAGAGAAGCAGAAGGUGCUGUGCUAAUGAUCGAGGUGAGAAACUAGAUUUCAAGUUGACUCCUUGCAAGUCAUCUGUAGAGCAGAAGAGUACUUCACUGAGGUGCUGCAUACUGUGCUCCUCUCCUGCUUUUUGCUGCUCAUAGCACGCCAGGACUAUGGGUGAACAAGCCAAACACAUUGCCGAACAGAUGCUCACUGUAGCUGCUGAUACAGAAGGAGAAGAAGAAAAAAAAAAAAGUAUUUUGAUCAGCCCUGAGGUUAUAGCUACCUUUACAUCUUACAUGUGCACUGGAAUAUGAGGUAAAUUGUCUAAAUGAGGCUACAAAGAGCUGCCUUAAUGCAUAGAGAUUCUAAAGGCACUCAUGGCUGUUCAACUUACAGAAGCCCAUGGAUAUCUUUCAUCGGGCCCUCAGCAUUGGUAACCCUUCCCCCUCCCCCCAGCAAAAUGGGAUCAGACCAGUUAUGCCCAAAUGUGUCUUGCUUUGUGGUGAUCAGCAACUCUAUGAUAAAACAGCUUGUAAGGUACAGAUAAUGCUCUUCUCUGGCAUGCACAAUGCAAAGCAAUGAGGCCUUCUCAGGAUUGCCCAUACAGGAGGUAUAACAUUACCACCCUUCUAUCAUUUGACAGGCUAGGCAACCCUCUUAACAGACAACAACACUGCAUGUCUUCUGGUUUUGUGUGCUGCCUUUUUUCACAGGAUUGCCCUUAACCUCACAUCCUGCCCUGUAAGGACAACUUGCAGUUACUAGCUCGCCUCUGGAUAGCUCUGUACCUUGAGAUGUCAGCCCAGAAUGCUGGGCGAUUUUUUAGAAAACACCAACCUG